ensembl:lincRNA
CCAAGGCCCAUCCCAGGCCAGAGCCUUUCUGUCAGGAGCAAAAAGGCUUGCUUACUCUCUUGAUGACUGCGGCUCCUCUCCUUCUCCGGCUCCUCUCAGCUUCUCUGCAUUUCACAAAACUGUGAAGACAGUACUCGUGUCGAAGGGUGUCUGGGGUUCUGCUUGCCUGCUGAGGGUAGCCUGGCUCUUCCUAAUGAAUCCACUAAGAAGAAGAGGAAGAAGCCUCUAUUGGUUCAACUCAUCCAUUGGCCCAGGUCUGGCCAUUAAUUGAGCUUCGAUCUAACGCAAAGCCUGCAGAGAAUACGCAGCAGAGACAUAUAUUACACCCAGAGCUUUUUAUCUCGCUCAUGUGACCCUGCCCAUCAUGAGCUGUGCAUUUUAUUCUCACUGGUGGGACAAAAAACCACCUCCCGCUACAGCAUAUAUCAAGGGGAAGAAUGUUGAACUUUCUUUGCAUUAAUAUAAAUAGCUGUUUAGGCCUCAUUCCCCAGCCUGGGACCCUUCAUGCAC